rnacentral:lncRNA from 1 species
GCAUGUCUUUCUCCAGGACCUGGGAGUCAUUUUGUGGGAGCGUAACCAUCAAGGAAGACAGAGCCUGUAAUAGUUUGGAUGUUAAGUGUCUCUGCAAAGACCCGUGUGUCAAAGGCUUGCUCCUCAGCUUGGUGCUGUUGGGAAUUGAGGGAAUCUUUAAGAGGUGAACCUGGAGGAGGUCUUCAAAUUGUUGGAAGCAUUUCUUCAAAGCAGCCUGUGGGACCCCGUCUCCUCUUCUUUCUUUCUCAUGCCAGCCGUGGGGCAGGCAGUUGGCUCCACAAGGACUUCCUACCAUGACAAGCUGCUCUGCCACAGGCCCCAAAACAAUGGAGCCCACCUACCAUGGGCUGAACCGUCAAAAGCUAUAGACAAGAGUAAACCUUUUGUCCUCUAAAGGUUGAUUAUCUUGGGCUGUUUAUUAUAGAGGCGGAAGCUAACUCACUCAGGGCCCAUCUUCUUUUCCCAAUGGACAGCAGAAGCCUAACUCUGACAGGAAGUAACUAGCAAACACCGGUGGCCCAACCGCAGGCCCAACCUUCUCCCUAAUGUCUUCAAGCUGCUUUCUUACCAGCUUACUCAGCAUUUAAAAACUUUCCACCUGUUCUUCCAGUGGAGUCCAGUUCAGUCUGUUUCCCUCAAGGCGGUAGUCCUGAAGUCCUCCUCUCCUGUUGAACUGGGUGUCACAAUUUUUCUUUAACAAUUGGAAAGAAGAUCCUUAGGUUGGAGUUCCACCGGAACAAGAAAUAUGAAGUUGAAGGGGGUAUACUACAUCCCGAAGAAUCCAUGGUGUUAGAGGUCAAGCUCAGGUGCUGGCGAGAAACAGAGGUUCAAGUCCUUAUGUGAACCAGUGAAAAUCUCUGUCUUCAGAAGUUUUUGAAAGAACAGAGUAAAAAGAUGAACCGUUUUGUGGUUAAACCAAUUAGUGCUUAAGCAGUGUAAUAAACAAAGAUUCUUGUCGGAAGGCAGCCUUUUUAAGGCUCAAGAAAAUUUAAAACUAUUUCUUUUGCUAAUGGACUUUUUUCCCUUAACUUUUCCAAUUCCUCAGAUAGCCCUGGGCCCUCGUGUUACUAAGAUACAGUUACAGAAGGAGGAGAAAAAAACCUGACUUUUGAAAAAGGUUAGCUCAACACUACAGGGAGUCUAAUUUCUGGUUUCAUUAUAGAAUUAAAUGAGAUUGAAAUUGUUAUCUCUCUCUUUUCCUCCACGUAGAAAGAGCGAGCUGAGCUAAGGCGGAAUGGCUGUUCUUUCCUGGGUAUUUGCUGCCUUUCCUCUGCCCGCAGGGCAAAGGUCUGGGCAUUAGUAUUCUGAUGGGAAUCUGCAUGACAUUGCUGGGAAUGGACAAAUGCUCCACAAGUCCCCACACAUCCCCUACCACUCUGAUUAAAGCUUGGCAUUUGUUUUCCUGCUCUUUGGAGCAGACAGCAUGCUGCCUGGAAUUAGAAAUAUGAAAGACAGAGGAACUUCACACUGUGCAGAGAAUGUUCUUUGCUCUCUUAUUUUCAUAAGGCAGAUGAGUUGCCUAAGGAUCUUUAUAAAAUCUUGGACCUCUCAAAUAUGAGUGGAGAUCUGUUCAGUAUAAUCUGUUCAUAGCUCCCUCCCCACGCUCCUGAAGCCUUUGUGUGGCUAUCCUUUAUUAGCUAGAUUUUAAUAGAGGAAAAUUUCAAUUGUCUAGAGUAUUGAUGAAGGGAUUUGGUUAGUUUCAUACAGUUGAAGUGUCACUCAUCUGUAAGGUCUGGGGCUGCUCUGUGUUUUGAGAUGAUUUGCU